rnacentral:rRNA from 1 species
AACGAACGCUGGCGGCGUGCUUAAGACAUGCAAGUCGAACGGUAAGGCCCCCUUCGGGGGGUACACGAGUGGCGCACGGGUGAGUAACGCGUGGGUAACCUACCUUCGGGUCUGGGACAACUCCGGGAAACUGGAGCUAAUACCGGAUGAGACCACGGAGUCUUCGGACUCUGCGGAAAAAGGCGGCCUCUUCUUGAAAGCCUCCGCCCGUCGAUGAGCCUGCGUACCAUUAGCUUGUUGGUGAGGUAACGGCUCACCAAGGCGACGAUGGUUAGCUGGUCUGAGAGGAUGAUCAGCCACACUGGAACUGAGACACGGUCCAGACUCCUACGGGAGGCAGCAGUCGGGAAUCUUGGGCAAUGGGCGAAAGCCUGACCCAGCAACGCCGCGUGAGGGAUGAAGGCCUUCGGGUCGUAAACCUCUGUCGGGAGGGAAGAACGGCAUCCAUUCGAAUAGGGUGGGUGCGUGACGGUACCUCUAAAGGAAGCGCCGGCUAACUCCGUG